CCAGAGCUUCUCCGGGAAGGACGUCGCUGGACUUCCUCGCUCCAAAAGGUAAGCCUGGGGCCUUUGCCCCCCCCCCCCCCGCGACAGGGUUCCCAAGGGAUAGUAAUGGAUUUCAGGAUACCCUUUUAAAAGGGGAUCCUUUACCCUAGGCAGGCCCUGAUGCCCUGGGGUGUUGGGUGGUGGCAUGGGGGCCCCUCUGGCUGCCCCCCAUGCCUGCGGGGGCGUGUGGGCCGCGGGGGGGAGGCAACGCCACACGCGACCCUUCCCUUCCCCCGCCAGGCCUGGCGGCCCUGGGGUGCGGCGGGUGGUGGCGGGGGGGUCCCCAGUCACCCCCCAGGGCCUCGGAGGCCUCCAAGUGGCUUUUUUAGGCCGCAGGGAGGCCCGCCGCGUUUUGGGAGGCCUUAUUAAAAAAGCAACGAAGUACCUGUUGGGACAGAACAAUUAGACCUGUGAGUUUUAUUCAUGAGCUGCUCUGCACCCAGUCUCUUUAGGGGAUUUGAUAAUAUUUAUUGUUAUUAUGAACUGCCUUCAUCCUAAGUCUCCAUGGUAGGUUUAGUAAAUGGUGCUGAAAAGCAACACAGUGGCUUAUAUUACAGACUAUAGGAGAAACACCAAACCCAGACUCCAUCUCCCUUGGGUCUAUUCCUAGCUUCUAAAUUAGCGAACACACAAAACAAUCUAUAAAGCUUUUGAGCCAAUGUCCCUGUGUGUUCAUUUGUUGCCAAAUAUAGACAGGCUUGCAAAGAUUAGACAUGACUGGCUAAACAUAGAUCAAACAAACAUUUCCUCUCCUUUUCUCUACUCUACAUCUAUAUAACAUGAAUGCAUUGUCUAGUAACCUGAAGACCUAGUAACCUGACUACCCGCUCCCCUUUUUGGUGAUAAUAAUUGGAUGUGUUUGAAGGAAAGAGCUAUUGUUGAUUUUGCUUCUGUACUCUGUUUUAAAUAAACUCCAACUUUCCUAUUUGGAAAUCAGGAAAAGCCAUCCAGCACUUGCUCACAUUUGCUUUGUUAGUAAUAAGGGGAAGGGUUGUAGCUCAGUAACAGAGUGCCUGGUCCUAAAUUCAGUCUGCAGCAUCUCCAGGUAGGGCUGUAAAUGUCUAAAACCCCAUGAGCUGCUGCCGUUCAGUGUAGACAAUGAAGCUCUAGAUGGGCCAGUAGUCUGACUCAGUAUAAGGCAGCUUCCUAUGUUGCUAAGAGAGAGGCAUGAAUGUAUGCACUGAAUCCAAAUAGGACAUGCAGGAGGACUAUGAGAAUAAACAGCACAACAGCUUUGCUUUUUUGAUGCUUGCUCAACCGAAGCGUUGUGUUUUCCCUUGCCAAGGUACAGCAAUCUGCAUAUUUCUAAUUCUGAAUUGCUGGCCUUUGUUUCUUUACCUGCCUUGUUUCCUAAUGGCCGAUUCCUGUAGAGAGCUACUUUAAUAAUGACUGGGAAGGUUACUGUAUGGUGUGUCAUUUGUUUGAGUGUUUGCACUGUCUGUAUUUAAGAUGCUGAAUACAUUUGCCAUUGUUUUUGCUUCUGCUUUCCAACUAGCAUGACAUACCUAGGUUUGAUGAAGACAAUUCAUUCUCCUGCCAGAAUGCUGCAGCAAGCUUGAGAUUUCCAGGAUGUUGGAGCAGGAGAUAAGAAGGCUAAAACAACAGAACAACAGCACAAUAGCAGAGAAGAAUUGCUGGUCAAGCGAAAUAAAUCAAUAAAGCCACAAAUUCCAAAGGG